GAGUUCGCGGGAGAGUAAGUUAUUGCCAGGGUUUUUAUUUUAUACUUUAAAUCUUGAAUUUAUUUUUUAAAUGUUUAUAUUAUUUGAAUAUAACAUUCAAAUAAUAUAAAAAAUAAUAUAUAUAUUGACAUGGAUUAAACAAAGAUAUAUAUUAUUCUAUGUUGUAUGAACAAAUUGGCAAAAUAGAGAUGGAAGAUAAAAAUAUGGUCAAAGUAAUAAGAGUCUAUGGUGAAUGCC
rnacentral:misc_RNA from 1 species